CUCUUCUCCCAGUAGAACCGAGGCCUCAAAAACCUCUCUUCGAACGGCGAAGGGGACGCUCCCGAAGACCGUGUGGGGCAGCUCGCCCGUUUCCUCUCUCCGGAGGGGAGGCCGUAGCCCUCAUGCCCCCGGUCCGAGAUGGCGUCCUGAGCUCCUCUGCCCUCACGGGCGGAGGGUCAGGCGUUUGCCGAUCAGCCGUUGUAGAUUUGUAGGCGAAAGGGAAUCUGGUAC
rnacentral:rRNA from 1 species